UUAGUGAAUUUUUUUUGUUUCUUUAUUUCUUCUCAUCAUCGAAGCCCUGCACUCUAUCUUCUUCGUCAUUCCUUCUUUCCUACCAGAGCACCAAAUAACAAAACCCUAGCCGCUUCUUCAAUCUCCCCGUCAUUGUGCCUUCCUUUGUCGUGCGCCACUGUCAUCGUCUCACUCGUCUGCUCAUCGUUCUUAGUCGUGCUCUGCCGCCGUUCAUCCAUCUCGCAGCUAUUCCUUGUAAGGUUGUGAAAACCCUAGCCUCCACCGCGCCGCGAUCAAUUUCACCGCCGCCGCCCGUCGCGCUCAAGAUCGUCACUAGGUUCGUCAUUCUCGAGGUCCCUCGAUCCCUCGUUCGUCAAUGUUUGCUUUCCAGUCCUGUUUCGCAGUUCUUCGCCGUCGUCCGUUGUCGUGUUUGUCGCCAGCUCACCGUCUUCGAAGGUCCAUGCUCUGUUCGUGGCUCACUGUAAUAGUAAACCUGAAGAAGGAUCAGUCAGUCAUAGAGUACAGUAAUUGGCAAAGUACAGGUUUCUGAAGUUUUCUUGCAGCUUGGAUCCACUUGUUUCUUACCUUUCUAUCAACUAUCUAGACCGGUUCUUGUCCAACCAUGGGAUACUGAAACAAAAGGCAUGGGUCCUUCGGCUGCUUGCAAUUUCUUGCAUUUCUUUAGCACCCAAGAUGAUAAAGCCAGGGUACUCUGCCAUUGAUACUCAGAAGCCACAAGAAAUAUUCCUGCUCCAUUUGAUAACUUCACCACCCUGCAAACUAAGUUUAACAAUGCUGGACUUGAUCUCAAUUGAAGUAAGUAACCAAACAGUUUCUCCUGGACAGAUUGAUUAUGCUGAGAGAUAUUUUAGAAUUGACUAAGGCUUUUAACGUGAAAGAGGCUGAGGCAAAGGCAUAUAUAUUUGAGAUCCAGAUUACUUUCCUUUCUCCAAUACUGAAUGAACUGCAAAAACUUCAAUUGAUGCUGCAAACUAUGACAAUGUGAUGUUAUUGGGUGGAACGUGUGAGUGUCCUUAUGUUUGCUAAUAAAAGCAUUUCUUCCCACCAGACUUCAAUUGAUGCUGCAAACUAUGACAGGGUGAUGUUACUGGGUGGAAGAGCGCUAGAGUAUCUUGCUCAUGAUCCUCUUGUGGCACUGGUGAUCAAGUUUUUCAGUUCUGGAAAAACACUUGCUUCCAUUUGCCUCGGACAGUUGAUUCUGGCGGUUGCAGGUGUAGUUAAAGAUCACAAGUUUACCGCUUUUUCUCCUGCUAAACCAGCACCGGUUGUCUCUGGUGCUCAUUGGGUUGAACCAGACACCAUGGCAACAACAGUGGUAAAUGGUAAUCUCAUUACUGCCGCCACUUAUGAAGGGCACUCUGAAUUUAUUCAGCACUUUGUAAAGACACUAGCAGGCAACAUAAGUGGCUCCAACAAAAAAAAAUCCUCUUUCUUUGUGGGGUAUGUUCAAAUGAUUUUCAGGCACACAACUGAUAGGAACUUAGUACUCAGGGCACUAAGGUCUUUGUUUAUUCUCUUUUCUUUUAUUUAUUUUAAUUUUAGACUUAAUUUGUAAUCCUCUUUAUAUUCAUUGAUACAUGGAAAUUAGUAGUUUAGACUUUAGACAUGUUUCAUUUUUUUCUCUGUUGUUGAAUGAUUGUUCAAUUGGAUAGUUGGAUCUAUUGUUUUAUGUACUAAUAUACUAUAGCAUUAUAAUGCUUGUGAAUCUU